AUUUCAUGAAAUUAGCAGCAAGUUGACUGCGAAUUUUUCUUUUGGUAACUAGCCUGUAACUACAAAUGGAUUGUAUAUCUUACUUAUUAGUCAAAAUUUAUGUAGAGGUUACAGAAAUAUUGACAAACCUUGUGUUGAAAAGGAGAUCAACACAAUGUAGGUGUCUAUGGGAAGACAGGGAUAUAUGUACAACUUGGAACACCAAAAUAUGAUUAAUGAGUAGGUUUUUUAAUGCAAAUCAUCAUUUAUGUAGGUGUAAAGUCCCAAAUUUGUUUUAUAAUGGUUGAG
rnacentral:lncRNA from 1 species